rnacentral:lncRNA from 10 species
CGCUUUCUUCUCGUCUGUCGCCAUGUGAGAUGUACCUUUCACUUUCCUCCAUGAUUGUGAGGCCUCCUUAGCCACAUGGAACUGAAAUGCUGGAGUCCUUCAUCCGAAUGGUAAAUGGCACUUGUGACAAAAAUCAAAGUAACUAAAAAAGAAUCUGGUUGAAACCUCAGUAACAGUUGGCCUGUCUACUGCCUCACACUAACAAGGGGGAGCUAAUAAAACCGAGGUUAGAACACACAAUGUGGAAAUGAAAACCUUAUUCUUGUCAAUGGAUGGAGGCCUGUACAAGAAACAUGGUGCCAGCAUCUGCUUCUGGUGAGGACUGCAGGAAGCUUCCAAUCAUGGUCCAAAAAAUGCGGAGCCUGCGUGUCACGUGAUAAGAGAUGGAGCGUGAGAAAGAGGCAGGAGGAGAAAGUGACCCCCACCUUUACAAGUGUCUGUAAUUCUCACUAGCAGUAUAUUAGAGGGCAAAAGAUUUGAACAGACACAUCAGAAAAGAAGACAUACAAAUGGCCGCUAAGCACUUGAAAGGAUUCUGAACACCAUUAGUCAUCAGUGAAAUGCAAAUUAAAGCCAUAAUGAAUGGCGCUAUACAUUUUCAGAAUGGCAAGGAUUGAAGACCGAAAAAAAUCAAGCGUUGAGGAGAGUGACAAAUGGGGAGACAGCCGUGGUGCAUGAUCGCCGAAUAAAUACCAUGUGAGGAUACAGCAAGAAGGUGGCCAUCUACAAGCCAAGGAGACAGGCCUCAGAAGAAACCAACCCUUCUUACACCCUGGACUCAGACUUCUAAUCUCCAGAACUUGUUAAUGCACAAGGUCUUGUGUUGAAAAUGUAGAGCCACGAGAUAAAAGCAGCUUGGAUGGCUGACUCAUAUACAAGGACAACUGCCUGAGAGUCACCAGGGCUAUCAAGAAGUUUGCAGAAACAAGAAAUAAACUUUUACUGUUUUAAACUUUUGUGAAUUUUGGGUUUUGUUUAUCACCAAAUAAACCUAGUCUAUUCUGAUUGUUAUAAGUGGUUAAUUUGGGAAGUCAGAUAUAUUUAAAAUUGGCUUACUGCUGUAACAUAUACAGUCCAAAUUACAUAAUGGCUCAAAUGCAAUAGAAGUCUUUUUUUUUUUUGCUCACAUAUCACUUCACUGAGAUUCUGCAUUAAUUGUAAUGAUGAGGGUGAGGGUGUCU